UUUGGCUUGCUCUGCCCAGCCAGGGUCUCUGGCGGUCUCGUGGACCCAGGAAAACAAACGCGGAUCCAAAAGGUUCCAGCGCCAAGGUGGACUCACCGUGGUGGGUCGGAGGAUACCUCUGCACCGUAGCCCUGACGGAGUUUCCGUAGUAGGACGGGACGUGGUUGCCUUGACCAUCGAUGUUAAAAAGGAAUGCAUUCUUUCUGAAACUAUCAAGACGGCGCCAGGCAGCUCAGUGUUCGCAGACAGCUGUGGCGCGACGCAACUUAAGGAGGUUCUAGUGUCAUCCGCGCCGAGGGGGAGGAGCCUGGCGCUGGCAGGAGGGGACACGAUCCUCAGCACAAGGAAACUGCAACCCAAACCCGCUCCAGGACUUCACCUCCACCCCCAUCCCAUCCCCCCCCACCCACCCCGGCACACCGCCGCCCCUCCUCCCGCCCCUCUACUGACCGGAAAGGGGCGCCGCCAAGGGCCGCCUAGGGCAGAGGGGCCGCGGGCAGGGUGGGCGAGGCCCGCCCGGG
ensembl:antisense Gm13256 predicted gene 13256